rnacentral:rRNA from 1 species
AACGAACGCUGGCGGCAUGCCUAACACAUGCAAGUCGAACGGGAUCCUGGUUUCGGCCAGGUGAGAGUGGCGGACGGGUGAGUAACGCGUGGGAACCUGCCCAGUGGUGGGGGAGUAACUGCGGGAAACGUAGCAGCUAAUACCGCAUGAGCCCGCAAGGGAAAGGAUUGAUCGCCAUUGGAGGGGCCCGCGUUCGAUUAGGUAGUUGGUGAGGUAACGGCUCACCAAGCCUUCGAUCGAUAGCUGGUCUGAGAGGAUGAUCAGCCA